rnacentral:rRNA from 1 species
GAUGAAUGCUGGCGGCGUGCCUAAUACAUGCAAGUCGAGCGGUAAGGCCCUUCGGGGUACACGAGCGGCGAACGGCUGAGUAACGCGUGGGAACAUGCCCCAAAGUGAGGGAUAACGCACCGAAAGGUGUGCUAAUACCGCAUAUGGUCUUCGGAUUAAAGGAUUUAUCCGCUUUGGGAGUGGCCUGCGUACGAUUAGAUUGUUGGUGAGGUAACGGCUCACCAAGUCGACGAUCGUUAACUGGUCUGAGAGGAUGAUCAGUCAGACUGGAACUGAGACACGGUCCAGACUCCUACGGGAGGCAGCAGUAAGGAAUCUUCCACAAUGGGCGAAAGCCUGAUGGAGCAACGCCGCGUGCAGGAUGAAGGCCCUCGGGUCGUAAACUGCUUUUAUGAGUGAAGAAUAUGACGGUAACUCAUGAAUAAGCACCGGCUAACUACGUG